rnacentral:snRNA from 1 species
GGAUGUGAGGGCGAUCUGGCUGAGACAUCUGUCACCCCAUUGAUCGCCAGGGUUGAUUCGGCUGAUCUGGCUGGCUAGGCGGGUGUCCCCUUCCUCCCUCACCGCUCCAUGUGCGUCCCUCCCGAAGCUGUGCGCUCGGUCGAAGAGGACGGCCUUCCCCGAAUAGAGACGGACCGGUCUUCGGUCGAGGGUAUACGAGUAGCUGCGCUCCCCUGCUAGAACCUCCAAACAAGCUCCCAAAUUCAUUGUCAGCUUUUGCAAUGUAUUUAGAGACUGAAUCAGAUUUUAUUAGAUUUAUGAUCAUC